UUUUCACCGUUUGGGUACUCACUUCCCAAUUCCGGUGAAAAUUAAUUAAAGCCCAUUAAAAACUUAAACCCUUGAGUUAAUAUGUUAGUCCCUUGGUUAGCAAAAAGUCAGUCCCCUAAUUUCUUUUAAACAAAAUCACCGUAAUUUUUUUUCUUUAUUCGCCGCUUCUUCUUCUUCUUCUUCUUCUUGUGGAGCUUGGAUUCAAGAUAAUUUUGAAAUUUUUAUUUGGCAUAUACACUUAUCCUAAUGGAUUCCAAAGACAAGCCGUGGUAAGUUAGUUCGUUAUACAUAUCAUAUUAUUUAAUUUAUUUAAUUAGCUUUAACUUCCUAAUUUGAUCAAUGCUCUAAUAAUUUGAUCAGUGCUCUACUAAAUUUAACAUGCUUGCAGUUCAUUAACACAAAUGGAUCACAAAGCAGUGUUGCAUCAGCAAGUACACACCAUGGUGGUCUAUCAUCAACCAUUAUACAACAAGGAGGUUCAUAAUAGCAGGAAUGAUAAGGGCUGAUGAACAACUCGUCAAGAAGAGUAUUUAUGUGCUGCUAAUUGGAAAUAGAAUAAUGUUUUUUAGGCUAUCUUGGAAAUAUUUAUUUGAUUUUGGCAAGAUAUUGUACUUUGUUUUGACAUUGAUAUGAUAUUUAUUAAUGACCGUUUGGAACUUAAGGAACAAACAUAAA